AUUGAUGUGCAUAUCAAUACCAUAGGACUGAUGCUAUCAUUCAGCAAGUGAUACGUGAGCAAUUCACCGAAUGUACCAUACUUACCAUUGCUCAUAGAUUAGAUACAGUUAUGGACUUUGACAGGAUAAUGGUACUGAGCUCUGGUGAACUUAUAGAAUUUGAUGAGCCUCAUAUGCUCCUCAAUCAGUCGUCAUCUUAUCUCAGUAAACUGGUAGAACAAACUGGACCAGCCAAUGCUGAAAGACUUAGGAAUAUGGCAAUGGAGUCUUAUUGUAAGAGACACAACAACUGAUUAACAUAAUGAUUGGUUUAAUUGGCACAUUCUUAGAAUAGCGGGCAUUUUCUUACAAUUCAAUGUUAUUUUUAAUUUACUACUAA